GCCAAAAAGUGCGUUCGGCUUUUUCCGUAAGCUGUUAGGGCAAACCCGAACGAACUUUUUGGC
rnacentral:miRNA from 1 species